UACGAAGGGUGCAAGCGUUAAUCGGAAUUACUGGGCGUAAAGCGUGCGUAGGCGGUGAGUUAAGUCUGUCGUGAAAUCCCCGGGCUCAACCUGGGAAUGGCGAUGGAUACUGGCUCGCUAGAGUGUGAUAGAGGAUGGUGGAAUUCCCGGUGUAGCGGUGAAAUGCGCAGAUAUCAGGAAGAACACCAAUGGCGAAGGCAGCUCUCUGGGACGGUACUGACGCUGAGACGCGAAAGCGUGGGGAGCGAACAGG
rnacentral:rRNA from 1 species